GUCCAGACUCCUCCGGGAGGCAGCAGUGGGGAAUAUUGCACAAUGGGCGCAAGCCUGAUGCAGCCAUGCCGCGUGUAUGAAGAAGGCCUUCGGGUUGUAAAGUACUUUCAGCGGGGAGGAAGGCGAUAAGGUUAAUAACCUUGUUGAUUGACGUUACCCGCAGAAGAAGAACCGGCUAACUCCGUGCCAGCAGCCGCGGUAAUACGGAGGGUGCAAGCGUUAAUCGGAAUUACUGGGCGUAAAGCGCACGCAGGCGGGCUGUCAAGUCGGAUGUGAAAUCCCCGGGCUCAACCUGGGAACUGCAUCUGAUACUGGCAAGCUUGAGUCUCGUAGAGGGGGGUAGAAUUCCAGGUGUAGCGGUGAAAUGCGUAGAGAUCUGGAGGAAUACCGGUGGCGAAGGCGGCCCCCUGGACGAAGACUGACGCUCAGGUGCGAAAGCGUGGGGAGCAAACAGGAUUAGAUACCCCAGUAGAG
rnacentral:rRNA from 1 species